CCCUUAGAUGCUCUGGGCCGCACGCGCGCUGCACUGGUCGAUGCAACGAGUUUCUUUCCUUGGCCGACAGGCCUGGGCAAUCUUUGAACAUCGAUCGUGAUCGGGAUAGAUUCUUGUAAUUUUUGAUCUUAAACGAGGAAUUCCUAGUAAACGCAAGUCAUCAGCUUGCAUUGAUUACGUCCCUGCCCUUUGUACACACCGCCCGUCGCACCUACCGAUUGAAUGGUCCGGUGAAAUCUCCGGACUGGCGUGAGUCGGAGCAAUCUGACAAACACCGGAAAGUUGAUUAAACCUUACCAUUUAGAGGAAGGUGAAGUCGUAACA
rnacentral:rRNA from 1 species